GAAAUGUGGCAGGGGUGGGAUUUGAACCCGGAGCCUUCUGAACUGAAACCAAGCAAUUUAUCCACUUGGCCACCACCCUCUUAAUUUAGUUUCCUAUGUUGCAAAAAGUUCAAGUUUAUUUCCCAUUUGCAGUAUUAAAACCCACAUUGGAAAAAAGGUGCAAGGAACUCAAAGUGCACUAGUAAGACAUACACAAAACAAUAAAAAGACAUAAAAAUGACAAAGCCACAUAAUAAAUUUAAGAUACAUUUAGAACUAGUCAGAGUAUUGAUUAUUGCCACUGCAAAGGCAAAUAGUUGUGAUUUCUCACAACAAAAUCACCCCAAAGUGUAAUGGUUUUGUACCUGCAGAUGCGCUCAUUUUUGUCAAAUAAACUGAUAGUGCCAAAUGCAAUAUUUACAUGGUUACAAUUCAUUCUUCUUGCAGCCAGUGUAUUACAUGACAAAACUGGUCUGAAUUUUAAAGUAAUUUAAGGUGUACUGAUUAAGUUUUUUUUUUUAAUGUACACAUUGGUGAAGGUUUUUUUUUUUUUUUUUUUUUAACUGUUACACAUAAUCAACUUGCUAUGGGCUUUUGUAUUUGUAAGGUGCACUGCAGUUUAUUUUUGGUUUUUCAUUCAUAUAACACGAAACUGGUGAGCACCCUUUUUUUCAUUUCCUCAUGUAUUAUUUGAAACUGUAAGGAAUGAUUUUUAUAACACUAAUAUAAUUUUACAAAACAUACUGUUAGAUGUCAGUAUUGUAUAAUUUUACUCAAUAGCUUUCAGUAAAUAUAGGCAACAAUACAAGCACCAUCUGAUCUACACCUGACCUAUAUAAUAUGUGGUACAACUUCAGGAUUUACCUGUCUUUUCAUCCAUAAUUCUGUUUGAAAAUAUUUACCCUGCUGCCACAUGUGUUUGAGGUGAAGGGGGAAAUGGAAGCAGCUGUCAUAUAACAUAAUUGUAGAAAGUUCUGUCCUCCAAAAGUGUAAACUAGCUAAAACAACUUCAAAGUUUGACUUAGUUGUGAGACACUACUGAAUAAUACAAUUACAUUGUUUUCCCACACAGCAAUUUACUUGCAGCAACCACAGUAGCCCCCGUCACUACAAUGACUAUACAUGGCAGAAUGACUCAUUAACAACAACAACAAAAAAAAAAACUGUCUGGAACAAAUCAUGGUGUGAUGCGUUUAUUGGGCUGCUACCCACUGAGCAAUUUUAAUAUAUGAUGAAACCUUGUAACUUCAGAUUUCAUUACAUGUCAUUACCUCCACCCUAACACCAGUCACAAGGUGUACCCAGUAAGAGUCACAACUUCACUAAGCUUCCAGGCCAGUUUGAAAUUACCAUGACCCAGACUAAAGUGUGACUCAUACAAUUUUAUGAAGAUUUACACUUUCACACAAGGUUUUGAUUCUGAAGUAGCUAUUUCUGGGUCACGCACCUGAUCAAGAGAAUGCAGAUUUUCUGGUUCAUAAAGACAAUAUUGAGUUUGUUGUCCAGAUUAACACCCGUUUGCCAUCUGCUCUUUGUGACAACCUAUAAAAUUGAGUUAGAAACUUGGAAGCAGAACUUCACAGCCUAAAACUUGUUUUUUUUUUUUGUUUUUUUUCCUUUUUUGGACCUACUACAUGGAUACCUUAGUGUCUCUGAGAAGAGGGAAAACAGUUCCAGAAAAACAGAAACAUGCAUAGUUGUAUUCCCUUUCUACUAUGAAUUUCAGUUUUUGGUCACAGUCCAGUCCAUGAACUGAAUCGCACAUACUUCUAAAUAUUCUGAGACAGGAGAAAAAAGUUUGAGUUUGACAGGGGUGAGAAUGAAGAAAUAAAGGAUCCUCAGGUAUUUCUAAGACUAAAGUGUCCCAGCAAUUUGCACCCAUCCAAAUUGGCUUACUGUAAACCAUAAAUUAGGUAAAGUGUGAUUGGAGUUUAAUUUUUUUUUUUUUGAACUACAAAUACUUUUCAGUGAUUGAUGUAGCUGUUGAUUAUGCCAUGUACCUUUUCUUUGUAAAUUAUGAGAAAAUUCUAUUACUACUACUUUCUUAGCUUGUAAAUAUUUGUUCAGGCUUUUUUAAUACACAUAAUUCAUAUGCCAAUCUUGUGUAUCUCUGAACAAUUUAAGUAUUCUUUGACACACAUCUUUUUUAAUCUUUAACUUAUUUUUCUAAAUCUUGUUUUUGGUAAGAUCUAAAUAAAAUGAAAAGUAUACAGCCAUGGCA